rnacentral:rRNA from 1 species
UACGAAGGGGGCUAGCGUUGCUCGGAAUCACUGGGCGUAAAGCGCACGUAGGCGGAUUGCUAAGUCAGGGGUGAAAUCCUGGAGCUCGACUCCAGAACUGCCUUUGAUACUGGCGACCUUGAGUCCGGGAGAGGUGAGUGGAACUGCGAGUGUAGAGGUGAAAUUCGUAGAUAUUCGCAAGAACACCAGUGGCGAAGGCGGCUCACUGGCCCGGUACUGACGCUGAGGUGCGAAAGCGUGGGGAGCAAACAGG